rfam:Caloramator quimbayensis strain TSBA 833 genome assembly, contig: Ga0105845_149
UCUGGUGGUUAGGCAUCUAUGGUAACACCCGUUCCCAUUCCGAACACGAAGGUUAAGCAUAGGUGCGCCGAUGAUACUGAGCUGGAGACGGCUUGGAAAAGUAGGUGGCUGCCAGUU